rnacentral:lncRNA from 1 species
UUGUUUGACGCAUCUCCCGAGAGGGUGCAUGCGGUUUAGUUAGUAUGCACGGUACGCUGCCACUUUUAUGCAGACCGUCUUGCGGGAGUUCCACGUAAGUUAAGCAUAUUAUCACCACAUAGUUGUAUUGGGAUGACGAAAUCAAUUGUUCUUAAUUUUAAAUUAUCGCAUGUUAUAGGUUUAUUAUCGAUUUGACCCGAGCAUCUCUUAGUCAGCUGGCGAUGCUGUGAUUGAGCAUCACGUCGCUGCGAAUUACUCUGGAUGGUUGUAUGAGAUGCGACAGAAGGCAGCCUGGGCAGUUGUGGACCAGCCCGGGACCACCAUCAG